CCGACUGCUGUGGAUUCGGUACCGAUUGUUGAGAUUUCGCAACGAAAGCGUCGAAUCGGAUUUUUACCAUAAAUCCAUUUUCUCAGUAGAACCUGAUAUAAUCAUAAAAAAGAAAAAUAUAUAGGUAAAAUAAGAUUCAAUAAAUAAGAAAAAAUUACACAUGACUCCUCUUCUAUACAGAGUAGCUACAACCCGAGCCCUCUUUCUGAAUCUCUUCUAUCAUUCUCUCGUCUUCUAUAAAUCUACAAAGAAGACAACUCUCUUUCUCUCCAU
rnacentral:lncRNA from 1 species